rnacentral:rRNA from 1 species
AUACGUAGGGAGCAAGCGUUGUCCGGAAUUACUGGGCGUAAAGGGUGCGUAGGCGGCUUAUUAAGUUAUUAGUGAAAUACCCGGGCUUAACCUGGGGGGUGCUAGUAAAACUGAUAGGCUUGAGUUCGGGAGAGGAAAGUGGAAUUCCUAGUGUAGCGGUGGAAUGCGUAGAUAUUAGGAGGAACACCAGUGGCGAAGGCGACUUUCUGGACCGACACUGACGCUGAGGCACGAAAGCGUGGGGAGCAAACAGGAUUAGAUACCCUGGUAGUCCACGCCGUAAACGAUGGAUACUAGGUGUGGGGGUCGACUGACUUCCGUGCCGGAGCAAACGCAAUAAGUAUCCCGCCUGGGGAGUACGGUCGCAAGACUGAAACUCAAAGGAAUUGACGGGG